GACGUAGGGCGCGAGCGUUGUCCGGAUUUAUUGGGCGUAAAGAGCUCGUAGGCGGUCUGUCGCGUCUGCUGUGAAAACUCAGGGCUUAACCCUGAGCUUGCAGUGGGUACGGGCAGACUAGAGUGCGGUAGGGGAGACUGGAAUUCCUGGUGAUAGCGGUGAAAUACGCAGAUAUCAGGAGGAACACCGGUGGCGAAGGCGGGUCUCUGGGCCGUAACUGACGCUGGAGGAGCGAAAGCAUGGGGAGCGAACAGG
rnacentral:rRNA from 1 species